AUGGAGAAGGGCAAGGCUGACCCUGCCGCCUUCAGCAUCGCUGAGGCCGGCUUUGGAGACCGGACGGACAUCGACGACGACGGACGCGAGAGGCGUACCGGUACGCUGGUGACGGCGAGCGCGCACAUCAUCACGGCGGUGAUCGGGUCCGGGGUGCUGUCGCUGGCGUGGGCCAUCGCGCAGCUCGGGUGGGUCAUCGGCCCCGCCGUGCUCGUCGCCUUCUCCGUCAUCACCUGGUUCUGCUCCAGCCUACUGGCCGACUGCUACCGCUCGCCAGACCCCGUCCACGGCAAGCGCAACUACACCUACGGCCAAGCCGUCAGGGCCAACCUAGGAGUUAGCAAAUACAGGCUCUGCUCUCUGGCCCAAUACGUCAACUUGGUUGGCGUGACCAUUGGCUACACCAUCACCACGGCCAUCAGCAUGGGGGCGAUCGGACGGUCGAAUUGCUUCCACCGCAAUGGCCACAAUGCGGCCUGCGAGGCAUCCAACACCACCAACAUGAUUAUAUUUGCUGCCAUCCAAAUCUUGCUCUCGCAGCUCCCCAACUUCCACAAGAUCUGGUGGCUCUCCAUUGUUGCCGCCGUCAUGUCCCUCGCCUACUCCUCCAUUGGUCUCGGCCUCUCCAUAGCAAAAAUCGCAGGUGGGGUGCAUGCCAAGACAACGCUAACAGGGGUGACCGUUGGGGUGGAUGUAUCCGGGCGUGAGAAAAUUUGGAGGACGUUCCAGUCUCUUGGGGACAUCGCCUUUGCAUACUCCUACUCCAAUGUGCUCAUCGAAAUCCAGGACACGCUGCGGUCGAGCCCGGCGGAGAACACGGUGAUGAAGAAGGCGUCCUUGAUCGGCGUUUCCACGACCACCACGUUCUACAUGCUGUGUGGGGUGCUGGGCUACGCGGCGUUCGGCAGCAGCGCCCCGGGCAACUUCCUCACGGGCUUCGGCUUCUACGAGCCCUUCUGGCUCGUCGACAUCGGCAACGUUUGCAUCGUCGUGCACCUCGUUGGCGCCUACCAGGUCUUCUGCCAGCCCAUCUACCAGUUCGUCGAGGGCUGGGCGCGCUCCCGGUGGCCCGACAGCGCCUUCCUCCAUGCCGAGCGCGUGUUGCGCCUUCCGGCCGUUCUCGGAGGCGGCGAGGUCCCGGUUAGCCCGUUCCGCCUGGUCUGGCGAACGGCGUACGUGGUUCUCACGGCGGUGGUGGCCAUGCUGUUCCCCUUCUUCAACGACUUCCUUGGCCUCAUUGGCGCCGUCUCGUUUUGGCCGCUCACCGUCUACUUCCCCGUUGAGAUGUACAUGGCACAGGCCAAGGUGCGCCGGUUCUCGCCGACGUGGACGUGGAUGAACGUGCUUAGCGUCGCGUGCCUUGUCGUCUCUGUCCUCGCCGCAGCUGGUUCUGUGCAGGGGCUCAUCAAGGACGUCGCAGGGUACAAGCCAUUCAAGGUCUCCUAA
rnacentral:rRNA from 1 species